rnacentral:rRNA from 1 species
AGAGUUUGAUCCUGGCUCAGAUUGAACGCUGGCGGCAGGCCUAACACAUGCAAGUCGAGCGGCAGCACGGGUACUUGUACCUGGUGGCGAGCGGCGGACGGGGUGAGUAAUGCCUAGGAAUCUGCCUGGUAGUGGGGGGAUAACGUUCGGAAACGAACGCUAAUACCGCAUACGUCCUACGGGAGAAAGCAGGGGACCUUCGGGCCUUGCGCUAUCAGAUGAGCCUAGGUCGGAUUAGCUAGUUGGUGAGGUAAUGGCUCACCAAGGCGACGAUCCGUAACUGGUCUGAGAGGAUGAUCAGUCACACUGGAACUGAGACACGGUCCAGACUCCUACGGGAGGCAGCAGUGGGGAAUAUUGGACAAUGGGCGAAAGCCUGAUCCAGCCAUGCCGCGUGUGUGAAGAAGGUCUUCGGAUUGUAAAGCACUUUAAGUUGGGAGGAAGGGCAUUUACCUAAUACGUAAGUGUUUUGACGUUACCGACAGAAUAAGCACCGGCUAACUCUGUGCCAGCAGCCGCGGUAAUACAGAGGGUGCAAGCGUUAAUCGGAAUUACUGGGCGUAAAGCGCGCGUAGGUGGUUCGUUAAGUUGGAUGUGAAAUCCCGGGGCUCAACCUGGGAACUGCAUCCAAAACUGGCGAGCUAGAGUAUGGUAGAGGGUGGUGGAAUUUCCUGUGUAGCGGUGAAAUGCGUAGAUAUAGGAAGGAACACCAGUGGCGAAGGCGACCACCUGGACUGAUACUGACACUGAGGUGCGAAAGCGUGGGGAGCAAACAGGAUUAGAUACCCUAGUAGUCC